CUCAGAUUGAACGCUGGCGGCGUGCCUUACACAUGCAAGUCGAACGCGAAAGCGGGGUAAUCCGCAAGUAGAGUGGCGAACGGGUGAGUAAUACAUCGGAACAUUUCCAGUAGCGGGGGAUAACCUGUCGAAAGAUAGGCUAAUACCGCAUACGCCCUAAGGGGGAAAGCGGAGGACCGCAAGGCUUCGCACUAUUGGAGUGGCCGAUGUCGGAUUAGCUAGUUGGUGGGGUAAAAGCUUACCAAGGCGACGAUCCGUAGCUGGUCUGAGAGGACGAUCAGCCACACUGGAACUGAGACACGGUCCAGACUCCUACGGGAGGCAGCAGUGGGGAAUUUUGGACAAUGGGCGCAAGCCUGAUCCAGCCAUGCCGCGUGAGUGAAGAAGGCCUUCGGGUUGUAAAGCUCUUUCGGUGGGGACGAAAAGGUUCGUGCUAACACCACGGACUAAUGACGGUACCCGAAGAAGAAGCA
rnacentral:rRNA from 1 species